rnacentral:misc_RNA from 1 species
GAUGAAGAACGUAGCGAAAUGCGAUAAGUAAUGUGAAUUGCAGAAUUCAGUGAAUCAUCGAAUCUUUGAACGCACAUUGCGCCCGCCAGCAUUCUGGCGGGCAUGCCUGUCCGAGCGUCAUUUCAACCCUCAGGGUCCCUCCGCCUCGCGCGGUCGGAGCCUGGUGUUGGGGAUCGGCCCGCCCCGCGCGGCGCCGUCCCCCAAAUACAGUGGCGGUCCCGCCGCAGCCUCCCCUGCGCAGUAGUUAUCAACUCGCACUGGAGCGCGGCGCGGCCACGCCGUAAAACCCCCGACUCUUCUGAAGUUGACCUCGAAUCAGGUAGGAAUACCCGCUGAACUUAAGCAUAUCAAUAAGCGGAGGA